GCACGCCGCGUGAGUGAUGAAGGUCUUCGGAUCUGUAAAACUCUGUUAUUAGGGAAGAACAAAUGUGUAAGUAACUGUGCACGUCUUGACGGUACCUAAUCAGAAAGCCACGGCUAACUACGUGCCAGCAGCCGCGGUAAUACGUAAGUGGCAAGCGUUAUCCGGAAUUAUUGGGCGUAAAGCGCGCGUAGGCGGUUUCUUAAGUCUGAUGUGAAAGCCCACGGCUCAACCGUGGAGGGUCAUUGGAAACUGGGAAACUUGAGUGCACAAGAGGAAAGUGGAAUUCCAUGUGUAGCGGUGAAAUGCGCAGAGAUAUGGAGGAACACCAGUGGCGAAGGCGACUUUCUGGUCUGUAACUGACGCUGAUGUGCAAAAGCGUGGGGAUCAAACAGGAUUAGAUACCCUGGUAGUCCACGCCGUAAACGAUGAGUGCUAAGUGUUAGGGGGUUUCCGCCCCUUAGUGCUGCAGCUAACGCAUUAAGCACUCCGCCUGGGGAGUACUACCGCAAGGUUGAAACUCAAAGGAAUUGA
rnacentral:rRNA from 1 species